CCUACGGGAGGCUGCAGUGGGGAAUAUUGGUCAAUGGCCGGAAGGCUGAACCAGCCAUGCCGCGUGAAGGUCAGUGCCCUAUGGGCGUUAAACUUCUUUUGUGCGGGAGCAAUAAUGGUCACGUGUGGCCAGACGAGAGUACCGUACGAAUAAGCAUCGGCUAACUCCGUGCCAGCAGCCGCGGUAAUACGGGGGAUGCAAGCGUUAUCCGGAUUUAUUGGGUUUAAAGGGUGCGUAGGCUGUGAGGUAAGUCAGCGGUGAAAUGCCCCCGCUCAACGGGGUGAAGUGCCAUUGAUACUGCCUGGCUGGAAUGCGGAUGCCGGGGGAGGAAUGUGUGGUGUAGCGGUGAAAUGCAUAGAUAUCACACAGAACACCGAUUGCGAAGGCAUCUCACGAAUCCGCGAUUGACGCUGAUGCACGAAAGCGUGGGUAUCAAACAGGAUUAGAUACCCCAGUAGUC
rnacentral:rRNA from 1 species